rnacentral:rRNA from 1 species
GAUGAAUGCUAGCUACAGGCUUAACACAUGCAAGUCGGGGGGUAACGAGAGGAAAGCUUGCUUUCCUUGUCGACGACCGGCGCACGGGUGAGUAACGCGUAUCCAACCUGCCCCCAACUAGGGAAUAACCUUGCGAAAGUAAGACUAAUACCCUAUAAUUUCCUCAGAUGUCAUCUGACGAGGAAUAAAGAUUUAUCGGUUGUGGAUGGGGAUGCGUCUGAUUAGCUUGUUGGCGGGGUAACGGCUCACCAAGGCAACGAUCAGUAGGGGUUCUGAGAGGAAGGUCCCCCACAUUGGAACUGAGACACGGUCCAAACUCCUACGGGAGGCAGCAGUGAGGAAGAUUGGUCAAUGGGCGGAAGCCUGAACCAGCCAAGUAGCGUGCAGGAUGACGGCCCUAUGGGUUGUAAACUGCUUUUAUACAGGAAUAAAGUUAGCCACGUGUGGUUAUUUGUAGGUACUGUAUGAAUAAGGACCGGCUAAUUCCGUGCCAGCCGCCGCAGUAA